rnacentral:rRNA from 1 species
UACAUAGGGGGCAAGCGUUGUUCGGAAUUACUGGGCGUAAAGGGCUCGUAGGCGGCCAACUAAGUCAGACGUGAAAUCCCUCGGCUUAACCGGGGAACUGCGUCUGAUACUGGAUGGCUUGAAUCCGGGAGAGGGAUGCGGAAUUCCAGGUGUAGCGGUGAAAUGCGUAGAUAUCUGGAGGAACACCGGUGGCGAAGGCGGCAUCCUGGACCGGCAUUGACGCUGAGGAGCGAAAGCCAGGGGAGCAAACGGG